GGGUGACUAGUCUAGUGGUCAGGACGCUUCGUUGUGGUUCUUCUCUUCCAAAAGAGUUCCACAUGCGAAUCCGAAGAAACCCCGGUUCGAUUCCGGGGUCGCCCA